rnacentral:rRNA from 1 species
UGGCGGACGGGUGAGUAAUGUAUAGCUAACCUGCCCUUCAGAGGGGGACAACAGUUGGAAACGACUGCUAAUACCCCAUAUUCCGUUAAAGCAAAAGUUUUAAUGGGAAAACUCCGGUGCUGAGGGAUGGGGCUAUAUUGUAUCAGCUAGUUGGUGAGGUAAUGGCUCACCAAGGCAAUGACGCAUAGCUGGUCUGAGAGGAUGAUCAGCCACACUGGAACUGAGACACGGUCCAGACUCCUACGGGAGGCAGCAGUGGGGAAUAUUGCACAAUGGGGGAAACCCUGAUGCAGCAACGCCGCGUGGAGGAUGACGCAUUUCGGUGUGUAAACUCCUUUUAUAUAGAAAGAACAUGACGGUACUAUAGA